ACAGGGAACUUGAACUCGAAUCUCCCAAUGCUGAUCUUGAAGAAGCUGAACAAGUCCUUCAAAGGUUCAACCCUUCACAGCUGAAAGGGAAGACCAAAGGAAGGCCUGUCAUGGGGUUUGAAUUUGGCCAUACUGUGUGUUUACGGAGAAGACCAAAAGCUGCAAAGGAAAACACUUCCAAUGGAUUUCUCACAGAUUACUAAAUCCUUCUCCAUCAGCUCUCCACAAUAUCAGCCCUGCCAAAAUCUUCCACAUCUCUCUCUCUCUCUCGUGUGGCACUUCUGCUCUCAGUCCUUUACUGCCAACUUCUUAGCAUGUCUACUUAUAUAUAUAGAUAUAUUCUUGAUGAAAAUUAUAAUUUACUAUAAUUGUUAACCAUUUUAAUUGGUCCUGCAUUUAGUCACAAUAGAAGCAAACAAUGAUUACAGGAGAAUAAUAAUCAUAAAAUAUUGAAAUAUUGUUCUUAAUCAUUUUUUGCCCAUUUGUUUGUUAAAGGGAAGAAAAUAAUAUCUUUUCAACUGGAGCCUCGAAACUCCUGAUUCCUGUAGUUCAGCUGUCAGAGCUAAGAAUG